rnacentral:rRNA from 1 species
GUGGGGAAUAUUGGGCAAUGGGCGCAAGCCUGACCCAGCAACGCCGCGUGAAGGAAGAAGGCUUUCGGGUUGUAAACUUCUUUUACCAGGGACGAAACAAAUGACGGUACCUGGUGAAUAAGCCACGGCUAACUACGUGCCAGCAGCCGCGGUAAUACGUAGGUGGCGAGCGUUAUCCGGAUUUAUUGGGUGUAAAGGGCGUGUAGGCGGGACAGCAAGUCAGAUGUGAAAACCAGAGGCUCAACCUCUGGCCUGCAUUUGAAACUGUUGGUCUUGAGUGUCGGAGAGGUAAUCGGAAUUCCGUGUGUAGCGGUGAAAUGCGUAGAUAUACGGAGGAACACCAGUGGCGAAGGCGGAUUACUGGACGAUAACUGACGCUGAGGCGCGAAAGCGUGGGGAGCAAACAGGAUUAGAUACCCCGGUAGUCC